AGGACGAACGCUGGCGGCGUGCUUAACACAUGCAAGUCGAGCGGAAAGGCCCUUCGGGGUACUCGAGCGGCGAACGGGUGAGUAACACGUGAGUAAUCUGCCCCUAGCUCUGGGAUAGCUCCGGGAAACCGGGAUUAAUACCAGAUACGACCACUUUAGACAUCUGUCGUGGUGGAAAGGAUUCCGGCUAGGGAUGGGCUCGCGGCCUAUCAGCUUGUGGUGGGUAACGGCCUACCAAGGCGACGACGGGUA
rnacentral:rRNA from 1 species